rnacentral:rRNA from 1 species
AGUGAACGCUGGCGGCAGGCCUAACACAUGCUAGUCGAACGAACCCUUCGGGGUUAGUGGCGGACGGGUGAGUAACACGUGGGAACGUGCCUUUAGGUUCGGAAUAACUCAGGGAAACUUGUGCUAAUACCGAAUGUGCCCUUCGGGGGAAAGAUUUAUCGCCUUUAGAGCGGCCCGCGUCUGAUUAGCUAGUUGGUGAGGUAAAGGCUCACCAAGGCUACGAUCAGUAGCUGGUCUGAGAGGAUGACCAGCCACAUUGGGACUAAGCCACGGCGCAAACUCCUACGGGAGGCAGCAGUGGAGAAUCUUGCGCAAUGGGCGAAAGCCUGACGCAGCCAUGCCGCGUGGAUGAUGAAGGUCUUAGGAUUGUAAAAUCCUUUCACCGGUGAAGAUAAUGACUGUAGCCGGAGAAGAAGCCCCGGCUAACUUCGUGCCAGCAGCCGCCGUAAGAC